rnacentral:rRNA from 1 species
GUCCACGCCCUAAACUAUGUCAACUGGUUGUCGGGGAAGAAAUUCCUUGGUAACGAAGCUAACGCGUGAAGUUGACCGCCUGGGGAGUACGGCCGCAAGGUUAAAACUCAAAGGAAUUGACGGGGACCCGCACAAGCGGUGGAUUAUGUGGAUUAAUUCGAUGCAACGCGAAAAACCUUACCUACCCUUGACAUGUACGGAACCUCACAGAGAUGUGAGGGUGCUCGAAAGAGAACCGUAACACAGGUGCUGCAUGGCUGUCGU